GACGAACGCUGGCGGCGUGCUUAACACAUGCAAGUCGAACGGAAAGGCCCUGCUUUUGUGGGGUGCUCGAGUGGCGAACGGGUGAGUAACACGUGUGUAACCUGCCCUUGACUGUGGGAUAACUUCAGGAAACUGGGGCUAUUAUCGGAUAGGAGCUCCUGCAGCACGGUGGGGGUUGGAAAGUUUCGGCGGUUGGGGAUGGACUCGCGGCUUAUCAGCUUGUUGGUGGGGUAGUGGCUUACCAAGGCUUUGACGGGUAGCCGGCCUGAGAGGGUGACCGGCCACAUUGGGACUGAGAUACGGCCCAGACUCCUACGGGAGGCAGCAGUGGGGAAUAUUGCACAAUGGGCGGAAGCCUGAUGCAGCAACGCCGCGUGCGGGGUGACGGCCUUCGGGUUGUAAACCGCUUUCGCCUGUGACGAAGCGUGAGUGACGGUAAUGGGUAAAGAAGCACCGGCUAACUACGUG
rnacentral:rRNA from 1 species